GCCUGGAUAGCUCAGUUGGUUAGAGUGUGGUGCUGAUAACGCCAGUGUUGCAGGUUCGAUCCCCGUAUGGGACA
rnacentral:tRNA from 1 species